rnacentral:tRNA from 1 species
GGAGGUAUAGCUCAGUGGUAGAGUGUGUGCAUAGCACGUACGAGGCCCUGGGUUCAAUCCCCUGUCCCUCCA